GUUUUGCUACGGUGGAGCCCACCCGACGAGACGUGCGCCGUACCGGGAUUCGCAAAGACGACGCACC
rnacentral:ncRNA from 1 species